rnacentral:rRNA from 1 species
GACAGAGGUGCCAAGCGUUAGGCGGAAUCACUGGGCUUAAAGCGUGUGUAGGCGGAUGCCUAAGUACCUUGUGAAAUCCCACGGCUCAACCGUGGAACGGCUGGGUAUACUGCCUGUCUUGAGCCAACUAGGGGCGAGCGGAACAGACGGUGGAGCGGUGAAAUGCGUAGAUAUCGUCUGGAACGCCGAAGGUGAAAACAGCUCGCUGGGGUUGUGCUGACGCUGAGACACGAAAGCCAGGGGAGCGAACGGG